ACCUGGCUAGCUCAGUUGGUAGAGCGUGAGACUCUUGAUCUCAGGACUGUGGGUUCAAGCCCUACAUUGGGUG